rnacentral:rRNA from 1 species
AUUGAACGCUGUCGGCAGGCCUAACACAUGCAAGUCGAGCGGAUGAGGGAAGCUUGCUUCCUGAUUUAGCGGCGGACGGGUGAGUAAUGCCUAGGAAUCUGCCUAUUAGUGGGGGAUAACGUUCCGAAAGGAACGCUAAUACCGCAUACGUCCUACGGGAGAAAGUGGGGGAUCUUCGGACCUCACGCUAAUAGAUGAGCCUAGGUCGGAUUAGCUAGUUGGUGAGGUAACGGCUCACCAAGGCGACGAUCCGUAGCUGGUCUGAGAGGAUGAUCAGCCACACUGGAACUGAGACACGGUCCAGACUCCUACGGGAGGCAGCAGUGGGGAAUAUUGGACAAUGGGCGAAAGCCUGAUCCAGCCAUGCCGCGUGUGUGAAGAAGGUCUUCGGAUUGUAAAGCACUUUAAGUUGGGUGGAAGGGCUGUAAGCUAAUAUCUUGCAGCUUUGACGUUACCAACAGAAUAAGCACCGGCUAACUCUGUGCCAGCAGCCGCAGUAAAAC